AUUGAACGCUGGCGGCAUGCCUUACACAUGCAAGUCGAACGGUAACAGGUCUUCGGAUGCUGACGAGUGGCGAACGGGUGAGUAAUGCAUCGGAACGUGCCCGGUCGUGGGGGAUAACGCAGCGAAAGCUGCGCUAAUACCGCAUACGAUCUGAGGAUGAAAGCGGGGGACCGUAAGGCCUCGCGCGAUCGGAGCGGCCGAUGUCAGAUUAGGUAGUUGGUGGGGUAAAGGCUCACCAAGCCGACGAUCUGUAGCUGGUCUGAGAGGACGACCAGCCACACUGGGACUGAGACACGGCCCAGACUCCUACGGGAGGCAGCAGUGGGGAAUUUUGGACAAUGGGCGCAAGCCUGAUCCAGCAAUGCCGCGUGCAGGAAGAAGGCCUUCGGGUUGUAAACUGCUUUUGUACGGAGCGAAAAGGUUCUCUCUAAUACGGAGGGCUCAUGACGGUACCGUAAGAAUAAGCACCGGCUAACUACGUGCCAGCCGCCGCGGUAACAC
rnacentral:rRNA from 1 species